rnacentral:ncRNA from 1 species
CAAAGGUUUGGUCCUGGCUUUACUGUCAGCUGUAGCUAAAUUUACACAUGCAAGUAUCCGCACCCCUGUGAGAAUGCCCUAACAGUCCUCUGCCCGAAGACAAGGAGCCGGUAUCAGGCACAACAUCUCUGUUAGCCCACAACGCCUUGCUUAGCCACACCCUCAAGGGAGUUUCAGCAGUGACAAACAUUAUGCUAUGAGUGAAAACUUGACUUAAUUAAAGCUAAAAGGGCUGGUAAAGUUCGUGCCAGCAACCGCGGCUAUACGAUAGGCCCAAGUUGACAGUUAACGGCGUAAAGAGUGGUUAAGGAAUACAAUUCAAACUAAAGCCGAAAACUUUUAGAGCCGUUUAAAGCAUCUGAAGACAAUGAAGACCCAACACGAAAGUGGCUUUAAUACCCCUGACCCCACGAAAGCUAAGGAACAAACUGGGGUUAGAUAUCCCACUAUGCUUAGCCGUAAAAAUUGAUAGGGAAAAUAUACUCCCACCCCUAUCCGCCCGGGUACUACGAGCCUUAGCUUAAAACCCAAAGGACUUGGCGGUACUUUAGACCCCCCCUAGAGGAGCCUGUUCUGUAAUCGAUAAUCCCCGCUUAACCUCACCCCCUCUUGUUGAACCCGCCUAUAUACCGCCGUCGUAAGCUUACCCUGUGAAGGAUCUAUAGUGAGCCUAAUUGGCAUGGCCUAAAACGUCAGGUCCAGGUGUAGCGAAUGAGGGGGGAAGAAAUGGGCUACAUUCGCUAACUUCAGCGAACCUACGAAUGAUGGCCUGACUGAAAAGUUCAUCGGAAGGAGAAUUUAGCAGUAAGUGGGAAUUAGAGAGUUCCACUGAAGCUGGCUCUAAAGUAUGCACACACCGCCCGUCACUCUCCCUAAGCACAUAGAUAACCCUAUACCUAAUAUGCUCUACCACGUAGAGGGGAGGCAAGUCGUAACAAGGUAAGUGUACCGGAAGGUGCACUUGGACAAAAAU